rnacentral:lncRNA from 1 species
AUGUACAAAGCGUCAGCCUUCUAUUGGAAAAAACUGAAGGAGAAAUUUGGUUUUGUUUGGAGCUGUUCACCAAGGAGCCAGGUCAUCACUCUGCCUCCUGCCUGGCCUGACCCUGCUCAGACAAACAGCCAAGGUAUGGAUGAGAAGGCAAGGGAAAAGGAAAGGAAACCCUGUGUGAAAGGUAUUCCUAGCUCUAGGUGGGACUGGACGUUGCCUACAGGACAAGCUUAUUUUAUUGAGGCUUUUUUUCCCCUCACUCGCUAUUUUUUUCCAUACAUAAUGUUUAUUUCUUCUAUUGUUAUCGGCACUAAAUAUGAGUUAAUUUAUUACUUAUUACUUAAUUUUAUCACUGAAACAUUACUUAAUUUUAUCACUGAAACAUUACUUAAAAACUCAUCGUUUAACCAAUUCUCCAUCAAUAGAACAACUACACGCUCCGUUUCUCCUCGCUCCAAUUGCCACUUGGUACUUUCGCACCGGUUUCUGCGUGUCGCACCCCAGGCCGGCCCUUUCACUCAGCGGUGUGCCCGGCCGGCAGGGCGGCUCGGCGCGGUUCCCGGGCUGUUUUCCCGCGGCAGGCCCGUGGGGCUCCGCGCAGUUCCCGCGGGGGCGGCGCGGGGGGGUCGCGGCCCCGGCCCCGGCGCGCUCCGGCCGCUGGGGGGCGCUGCCGCUGCCGGUGCCGCCCCCGCCGGGCGCUGCGUCACGCGGCGGCCGCGCGUGGGCGGGCGGCGGAGCGCGCGCGGGCUCUCCCCAUGUGACCGCGCGGGAGGGGGCGGCGAGCGGGGGGGCGGGGGCCGCUCCCUCCCUCCCUCCCCUCCCUUCCCCUCCUUCCCUCCCUCCCUCCCUCCCUCCCUUCCCUUCCCCUCCUUCCUUCCCUCGCUGCCGCCCGCUCGGCCCCCGCGCACGGCGAAGGCGCGGCCGCGACGAGGCGAGGUGCGGCGGGGCGGCCGCGCGCCCCCCUGGCGGUGGCGGCGGCAGCGAGGCGGUGGCGGGGACGGGGACAGGCUCGCCCACCCGCCCCGUCGAUGGGAAAGGAGGAGCCUGGGCGGGGGGGGCGCGGGCAGGAACUUCGGCGGGGCUGAGUCUGCGGCCCCGGGACGGCACCGAGGGGAGCCCCGGGCAGCCGGCGGCGGCGGCCAACUGCAGAGUACGUGCGGGGCGGCCGGGGGGCGCGGGCAGCGCGGCCCCGGCGCCGCGGGGCACGGCCGGAAGGAGCGGGCGGGU